rnacentral:rRNA from 1 species
GCUUCUUUUUCCCCGGAGCUUGCUCCACCGGAAAAAGAAGAGUGGCGAACGGGUGAGUAACACGUGGGUAACCUGCCCAUCAGAAGGGGAUAACACUUGGAAACAGGUGCUAAUACCGUAUAACAAUCGAAACCGCAUGGUUUUGAUUUGAAAGGCGCUUUCGGGUGUCGCUGAUGGAUGGACCCGCGGUGCAUUAGCUAGUUGGUGAGGUAACGGCUCACCAAGGCUACGAUGCAUAGCCGACCUGAGAGGGUGAUCGGCCACAUUGGGACUGAGACACGGCCCAAACUCCUACGGGAGGCAGCAGUAGGGAAUCUUCGGCAAUGGACGAAAGUCUGACCGAGCAACGCCGCGUGAGUGAAGAAGGUUUUCGGAUCGUAAAACUCUGUUGUUAGAGAAGAACAAGGAUGAGAGUAACUGUUCAUCCCUUGACGGUAUCUAACCAGAAAGCCACGGCUAACUACGUGCCAGCAGCCGCGGUAAUACGUAGGUGGCAAGCGUUGUCCGGAUUUAUUGGGCGUAAAGCGAGCGCAGGCGGUUUCUUAAGUCUGAUGUGAAAGCCCCCGGCUCAACCGGGGAGGGUCAUUGGAAACUGGGAGACUUGAGUGCAGAAGAGGAGAGUGGAAUUCCAUGUGUAGCGGUGAAAUGCGUAGAUAUAUGGAGGAACACCAGUGGCGAAGGCGGCUCUCUGGUCUGUAACUGACGCUGAGGCUCGAAAGCGUGGGGAGCAAACAGGAUUAGAUACCCUGGUAGUCCACGCCGUAAACGAUGAGUGCUAAGUGUUGGAGGGUUUCCGCCCUUCAGUGCUGCAGCUAACGCAUUAAGCACUCCGCCUGGGGAGUACGACCGCAAGGUUGAAACUCAAAGGAAUUGACGGGGGCCCGCACAAGCGGUGGAGCAUGUGGUUUAAUUCGAAGCAACGCGAAGAACCUUACCAGGUCUUGACAUCCUUUGACCACUCUAGAGAUAGAGCUUCCCCUUCGGGGGCAAAGUGACAGGUGGUGCAUGGUUGUCGUCAGCUCGUGUCGUGAGAUGUUGGGUUAAGUCCCGCAACGAGCGCAACCCUUAUUGUUAGUUGCCAUCAUUCAGUUGGGCACUCUAGCAAGACUGCCGGUGACAAACCGGAGGAAGGUGGGGAUGACGUCAAAUCAUCAUGCCCCUUAUGACCUGGGCUACACACGUGCUACAAUGGGAAGUACAACGAGUCGCGAAGUCGCGAGGCUAAGCUAAUCUCUUAAAGCUUCUCUCAGUUCGGAUUGUAGGCUGCAACUCGCCUACAUGAAGCCGGAAUCGCUAGUAAUCGCGGAUCAGCACGCCGCGGUGAAUACGUUCCCGGGCCUUGUACACACCGCCCGUCACACCACGAGAGUUUUAACACCCGAAGUCGGUGAG